CAGCCAAAUAGAUACACUCAAUGUUUGAAAGUCGGUUUAGUAAGAAAUACAUAACUAAAUUACUCAAAUAUAUCAACGAUUAAUUUCUUACCAACUUGAAGCGAUGAUCCACUAACAGCGUACACUGCAGGACAGCUUUUCACCAAAAAAAAACUUGACCUUUCAUGGCUGGAUUUGGCAGGAUCUGUAAAAACAUGAACACAUACUGUACAUAAUUGAUCACACAGUGCGAAAUACUUAUACUGAUAGUAAACAUUAUGGUACACUGUACUUUUACCAAAGGGAUAAAUGUUAUACCUUUACAUUGUAAGAACAUCCACCAAGUCAUAGAGAUGUCGUUAAUGAGGAAGGAAGGAAGGAAGGAAGGAAGGAAGGAAGGAAGGAAGGAAGGAAGGAAGGAAGGAAGGAAGGAAGGAAGGAAGGAAGGAAGAGAGAGAGAGCGCUGCAGAAUGAACUGCAGCAGAAAACGUCUUCUUGCAUUGUGAGGUUUAGAUCGGAUUUGUGUCACUGUUGGAAAAAAGGUUGGCAUUCAUAGAUACAGCUUAGGUAUUAUAAAAAAAGUAUUGCUAAAUGUCAUUUGAAAACUGUAGUGAGGUGACAACAGCAUCAUGAUCAGAAUAAUAUACACUCACUACGGAACUGUUUAUGAUUUGUAUGGAAGUUGGCUUAACAUAGACAUGGUCCAAUAAACUACCGGCAGAAACAAAUGUAGGCUCAAUAACAAUUUGUGUAUAGUUUAGAGAUUCCAUUAACGAUAUUAGUGGUUGAGAAUGAGUGGCAUUAAAAUAAUUCAUAUUGAAGUCACUCCAUGUCAAUUCUGUAGAUAUUAAGGAGAUAUCGCAAUGCUUCUAUAUAUUGUGA
rnacentral:lncRNA from 1 species